rnacentral:lncRNA from 1 species
CGGGUUGGGCUUUUCUUCAGCCAAAAUUAUCAAUUACGGUACAUCUGCCGGACAUUGUGUUUUAGGCAUUUUGUCAGCAAGAGAAAUGUCGUUUUUAUCCUUACAAACAUCUGCAUCAAAAUUGAUUUUCUCUCUCUCGCUUGCAUGAAGCCAACUCUUUUUGCGAUUUUCAGAUCUCUCCACUGUGAUUGCUCAGAUUUCUCUUCAUUGUUUGUGACGAUGAGGAAACGACACUGCGAACGAGUUGGUGGUGACGAUGAUGAGAUUCGUUGGCGAUGAGGAGUCGACACUGCAAAUGAGAUGGUGGUGAAGAAAAUGAGAUCCGGUGACAACGACGGUGACAACGACGGUUUGAGCGUAGGAGAACGACAAAAUUCAGACCAAAAGAUUAAAGCUUUAAAACCAAUCUCUCUCUCUCUCCGUGGGUUUUGCUUUGUCAAGGGAGAUUAAAAACUCAAACUUUUUAUGAAUCUGUAAAAGUAAUUUUCAAAUUUAGUUUUGAUUCCAUCAAUCUCUAUUAUUGGAGCACUUGGGUUUACUAAACACUAUCCCCAUAGGGUUUAGUUUCCUUUAUUCAAGACUUGAUUAAUUGAAUUCAUUGGGUUAAUCGGAAGAUAUCGUAUUAGUGACGAAGACAUAUCGUGAGUCGGAGAAUCUAAAAGAGACGACAUUGAUGGAUUUGAAGGAGAAAGAGACGAAGACAGAGCGAACACGUCGGUGAAAAGCAAUGGUUGUGGUCGGAAAAGAGAGACGGUGAGAAGCAAUGGUUGUUCUUCAGACCUCAAAGAUGGUAUUGGUGGUGAAGAGAAACAAGGAAGGAGACAAAGAGAAAAUAGUCAUUACCCCAAACCCAUAAAUACCUAUAAACGUAAGUAUGAAUAAUGGUUCCUUUUUUUAAGUGUUUCUCUUUAGUUAUGAAAAAAAUGAGAUCUUUGUAGAUAGAGAGUACUCCAUCUCUGAUAAUUCCACGGUUUGGUUUCAGUAUCUUGUAAAAUAAAUUAGCAAAUGAUUUACUUUUGACUAGGA